rnacentral:rRNA from 1 species
GGCUGGAACCUCUCGGGGUUACAGCCUUGCUGAAUUAUUCACCCUUGUCUUUUGCGUACUUCUUGUUUCCUUGGUGGGUUCGCCCACCACUAGGACAAACAUAAACCUUUUGUAAUUGCAAUCAGCGUCAGUAACAAAUUAAUAAUUACAACUUUCAACAACGGAUCUCUUGGUUCUGGCAUCGAUGAAGAACGCAGCGAAAUGCGAUAAGUAGUGUGAAUUGCAGAAUUCAGUGAAUCAUCGAAUCUUUGAACGCACAUUGCGCCCUUUGGUAUUCCAAAGGGCAUGCCUGUUCGAGCGUCAUUUGUACCCUCAAGCUUUGCUUGGUGUUGGGCGUCUUGUCUCUAGCUUUGCUGGAGACUCGCCUUAAAGUAAUUGGCAGCCGGCCUACUGGUUUCGGAGCGCAGCACAAGUCGCACUCUCUAUCAGCAAAGGUCUAGCAUCCAUUAAGCCUUUUUUUCAACUUUUGACCUCGGAUCAGGUAGGGAUACCCGCUGAACUUAAGCAUAUCAAAAGCCCGGGAGGAAA